rnacentral:rRNA from 1 species
UACGUAGGGUGCAAGCGUUGUCCGGAAUUAUUGGGCGUAAAGAGCUCGUAGGCGGUCUGUCGCGUCUGCUGUGAAAAUCCAGGGCUCAACCCUGGACCUGCAGUGGGUACGGGCAGACUAGAGUGCGGUAGGGGAGAUCGGAAUUCCUGGUGUAGCGGUGAAAUGCGCAGAUAUCAGGAGGAACACCGGUGGUGAAGGCGGAUCUCUGGGCCGUAACUGACGCUGAGGAGCGAAAGCAUGGGGAGCGAACAGG